GACGAACGCUGGCGGCGUGCUUAACACAUGCAAGUCGAACGAUGAAGCCGGAGCUUGCUCCGGUGGAUUAGUGGCGAACGGGUGAGUAACACGUGAGUAACCUGCCCUUGACUCUGGGAUAACUGCGGGAAACUGUAGCUAAUACCGGAUACGACCCUCGGCGGCAUCGCCAGGGGGUGGAAAGAACUUCGGUCAAGGAUGGACUCGCGGCCUAUCAGCUAGUUGGUGAGGUAACGGCUCACCAAGGCGACGACGGGUAGCCGGCCUGAGAGGGUGACCGGCCACACUGGGACUGGAACACGGCCCAGACUCCUACGGGAGGCAGCAGUGGGGAAUAUUGCGCAAUGGGCGAAAGCCUGACGCAGCAACGCCGCGUGAGGGAUGACGGCCUUCGGGUUGUAAACCUCUUUCAGCAGGGAAGAAGCGAAAGUGACGGUACCUGCAGAAGAAGCACCGGCUAACUACGUGCCAGCCGCCGCCGUAA
rnacentral:rRNA from 1 species